rnacentral:rRNA from 1 species
GACGAACGCUGGCGGCGUGCUUAACACAUGCAAGUCGAACGGAAAGGCCCUGCUUUUGUGGGGUGCUCGAGGGGCGAACGGGUGAGUAACACGGGAGUAACCUGCCCUUGACUUUGGGAUAACUGCAGGAAACUGGGGCUAAUACCGGAUAGGAGCUCCUGCUGCAUGGGGGGGGUUGGAAAGUUUCGGCGGUGGGGGAUGGACGCGCGGCUUGUCAGCUGGUUGGUGGGGUAGUGGCUUACCCAGGCUUUGACGGGUGGCCGGCCUGGGAGGGUGACCGGCCACAUUGGGACUGAGAUACGGCCCAGACUCCAACGGGAGGCAGCAGUGGGGAAUAUUGCACAAUGGGCGGAAGCCUGAUGCAGCAACGCCGCGUGCGGGAUGACGGCCUUCGGGUUGUAAACCGCUUUCGCCUGUGACGAAGCGUGAGUGACGGUAAUGGGUAAAGAAGCACCGGCUAACUACGUG